UACGUAGGCAGCGAGCGUUGUUCGGAGUUACUGGGCGUAAAGGGUGUGUAGGCGGUUGUUUAAGUUUGGUGUGAAAUCUCCCGGCUCAACCGGGGGGGUGCGCCGAAUACUGAGUGACUAGAGUGCGGGAGAGGAAAGUGGAAUUCCUGGUGUAGCGGUGAAAUGCGUAGAUAUCAGGAGGAACACCGGUGGUGUAGACGGCUUUCUGGACCGUAACUGACGCUGAGACACGAAAGCGUGGGUAGCAAACAGG
rnacentral:rRNA from 1 species